UACGGGGGGGGCAAGCGUUGUUCGGAAUUACUGGGCGUAAAGGGCGCGUAGGCGGCCUUCUAAGUCAGACGUGAAAUCCCCCGGCUUAACCUGGGAACUGCGUCUGAUGCUGGGAGGCUAGAGUGCGGGAGAGGGAUGCGGAAUUCCAGGUGUAGCGGUGAAAUGCGUAGAUAUCUGGAGGAACACCGGUGGCGAAGGCGGCAUCCUGGACCGACACUGACGCUGAGGCGCGAAAGCUAGGGUAGCAAACGGG
rnacentral:rRNA from 1 species